rnacentral:rRNA from 1 species
UACAGAGGGUGCGAGCGUUAAUCGGAAUUACUGGGCGUAAAGCGUGCGUAGACGGUUAUUUAAGUCGGAUGUGAAAGCCCCGGGCUCAACCUGGGAAUUGCAUUCGAGACUGAAUAGCUAGGGUGCGGUAGAGGGAAGCGGAAUUUCCGGUGUAGCGGUGAAAUGCGUAGAUAUCGGAAGGAACACCUGUGGCGAAAGCGGCUCACUGGACCAUAACUGACGCUGAGGAGCGAAAGCGUGGGGAGCGAACAGG